CCGUAGCCCCGAUUGAAGUGAAAAUCCUUUGAGAGGAAACAACAAAGAUUGCAACAGAAAGCGGGAGCGAUG
rnacentral:sRNA from 1 species